rnacentral:sRNA from 1 species
GCCGGGCAAAGUGGCGAAUGCCUGUAAUCCCAGAGGCUCGGGAGGCUGAGGCAGGAGGAUCCUGAGUUCAAAUCCAGCCUCAGCAACAGCAAGGUGUUUAGCAACUCAGUGAGACCCUGUCUCUA